CGGGGGAGCUAAGCGUUGUUCGGAUUUACUGGGCGUAAAGGGCGCGUAGGCGGCCACAACAAGUCACUUGUGAAAUCUCCGGGCUUAACCCGGUAGCGGCCAAGUGAUACUGUUGGGCUAGAGUGCGGAAGGGGCAACUGGAAUUCUCGGUGUAGCGGUGAAAUGCGUAGAUAUCGAGAGGAACACCUGCGGCGAAGGCGGGUUGCUGGGCCGACACUGACGCUGAUGCGCGAAAGCUAGGGGAGCGAACGGGAUUAGAUACCCCGGUAGUCCUAGCCUUAAACGAUGGAUGCUUGGUGUCUGGGUGAUAAAGUCCCCGGGUGCCGUCGCUAACGCUUUUAGCAUCCCGCCUGGGGAGUACGGUCGCAAGACUG
rnacentral:rRNA from 1 species